CCCAUUAUGUGCAACAACCUCUGAUCACCUCCGAUUCACACGCGACCUUCUCCUCCGAGGCCAGUCCCAUCGAACGCCGCCGACCUGUUCACCGGCUGUAUCGGAGCCGCCGUCCUCACCCACAGGAAUGGAGCUGCCGCCGACCGCCCAUCUGCCCUGCGGAAUACGACGUCACUGCUUGUUCUUCGUCCACACGUUGGAUUUAAGCAUCGUGAUCCGCCUCUCUGCUCGUCACCGGCGCUAACUCUCUCAGCCAUGCCAUCUUGCAACGACUCGCGCCAGCAUAUAGAAAUAAAAACCAAGAAUAUCGGUACAUGAAUUAGCACAGCUGGACAAUAAAAAUCGGAGCGCCCAGCAACAACCGUACGUCAACAGGGCCUGACUCGCCGCCGCUUGGCCUGUGCCACCACCCACCUAGCCUGUGCGAUACAACGGUACUGCUUCCUCUUCAUCCACCCAUUCGCAAGACGGAAUGGCUAGUUCGUCCAAUAGUUAUGCUGACACAGAAUUACCACUACCAGACGUAACCAAUCAGGCUUUUUUGGAGGAACUCAGUGUGAAACAUGCAAAUAUGAGGUUAUCGUGCUCACCUUCAAGGUUCGCGGACAUGAUCGACAGAUUAGAUCCUGACCACCAAAAGGUCGUCUGCAAUAAAACUGGUCUUGGAGGGCCCGGCGUAUUAUGUUGGUGCUGCUAGCCAGUGGAAAACCACUUGCUAUACUAACAUACCACAACAGAGGACGGGCACAAACAAAUAUUUUCAGCUGGAAAAUAUUUUCAAGCCUGCUGCGUUCAGAUUGCUACAAGCUUCGGAAAAAAAAUCAUACAAGAAUCCUAUAACGACGGACGAGUACGAAGCAAGCAUUCCAGAAGAACGAAAAGGUGCAGAUGACGACGUCACGAUCAUCAUCAACCCUGAUGUUACAAACAAACCAGACACAUCUGGUGCCCCAAAGCGUAAACGUGGACACCCGAGGAAGAA